rnacentral:tRNA from 1 species
GCACCCGUAGCUCAGCUGGAUAGAGCGUUGCCCUCCGAAGGCAAAGGUCACACGUUCGAAUCGUGUCGGGUGCGCCG